GGGGAUUUAGCUCAGUGGUAGAGCGCUUGCCUAGCAAGCGCCAAGGCCCUGGGUUCGGUUCCCAGCUCCG
rfam:Rattus norvegicus chromosome 14, whole genome shotgun sequence.